UUUGAUCUCGAAUUACAUUCGACUAAAGACGACGAAUUGACGGAAUUAUCCAUAUUUCGUUUUGUUUUAAUUGUUUCGUGUAAUCACUAGAGUUAGCAUAAUUAUUUGUAGAGUGGAUGCAUAAGACAUUUCUAUUUUCUAAGGUAUACAAUGUUUUAUAAAACUUGUGAAAUAUGUGGAGUAAAAUCUGGCCGUUCUGAUGGGAGUAAGAGAAUUUUCAUGGCUAAAUUCCCUGUGGAUGAAGAAAGAUGUAAACAAUGGGUUAAAUUUACGGGCAAAGAAGACCUGGUGUAUGUGCCAAUUGAAAAACUACACCAAUUAAAGCAAGUUUGUGGCAGACAUUUCUUAACAACUGAUUUUAACAGGAAAAAGACACAGUUGAGAAGAAGUGCUGUCCCUUCAGUAGAAUUAACUCGGACACCAUUAGCAGAUGAACUUUUUAUUGAUUUCCCUCUACACAUUUUUAGGAGUGAACUAAUGGUUUUGGCAUCUGCUGGAAUGGAGCAUAACUACUGUGGUCUCUUUUAUAGUCCACAAAUUGCAAAUGUAUCACCAAUCAACAAAAGCUCAACAAUACAGAGAAGGAGUUCUACUUCGGAUUUAGGCGCAAAUGGAAACAUAAUUAAAAAAAUUAGACUUAGCCCAUUAACUUCAACGCCAACUGCCGAAUUAUUGCCAGUGAUUGACAGUUCUCUGAAGAAGGAAAGAUGUAUUGUCACAGAUUCAGAAGCCACGCCUGCGAAUUCAAUAACAUUAAUUGUUACACCUGAAAAACAAAAACCUACGACAGCAAAAAUUGUACAAAAAAAAAUCAUCACCAUUAUUGAAAAGUCUCACAGAAUCAACUGUAAGAAAUGAUAAAAGGAAAUUUAAAGGUCGUUGCUGGACUGAAUCAAAUCACUGUGUUCAUGUGGGUCAAGGAAAUGACACUUAUGAAUGUUAAAAGUUUCGUUUUAUUAUCUACAUUCGGAAAGAGUUGAGCUUUAAUUAGAAGAAGUGGCAAGAAACUCAGUCAUACUCUUUAAAAUCAACAUUUAGAGCUUAAUCUGUUUACAAAUUAAAUAAAAUUAUGGCACAGGCCUUCUAUAAAUAUAUAAGCCAACUAUUAUCGAUGCCAAUUGUGCGAAAAUUGCAGACAAUUUUAGGGAAAAUUAUGAUAGAGCCGGGUGUUGGUCAUUGCAUUAUGAAUCAUUUGAGAGCAAAAGAUGAAAAACUAAAUGAUGAAGAUAGAAAUUGUAUUAUUUUAUUCGACGAAAUGGCAUUAAAAAGUAGACUUUUCAUAAUAGUGCAGCAGACAAAAUAAUUGAUUGUUACGAAGAUCUGGGCGACGAAGGUGGACGGUCUGCAAAAUUUGCAGAUCAUGCCUUUGUAUUCAUGCUUCAAGGCAUGUUUAAAAAUAUUAAGCAGGCGAUUGCACAUUAUUCGACAAGGCCAUUGUUAG